rnacentral:lncRNA from 1 species
ACAUUUCUGCCCCUCCAGACACUCUAGCUGACAUAUAUACACAACUUCAAUUAUACUUUCAGCACACACAUUUUGAUGUCUACCAUGUGCCAAGCACUGUGGUGGUACAAAAAUGAGCACAGGGAGGCCUUUACCCUCAAUCUGGGUGGGCAGGGCUCUCUCCCUCUAGGAGGCUCCCCAGGGACCCUGGGCUCACAUUUCAACUUUUUUUUAGAAGAUACAAUAAAAACCAGGGGAAAAUUGGAACAGAGGGAGGUGUGGGAUGGGCCUGCUUCAGACAUGGGCUUGAAAGAGGCACAACACGUGUGUUCACAUACACACAAGCAAGCAU